UUAAAAGUAUAAGUAUAUCCCAUGCAAUAUUUAGGGCAUACUUAUACUAUAA
rnacentral:pre_miRNA from 1 species